CUCAAUUGGGGAUAAGAAUCAGGGUCGGUAACUGUUUGCAAAAGGUAAAGCCCUCUUUUAUUUGAACGCUUGUAUGUGGAAGAAGAUGGGAAUUUUUUGACCGGGCGAAAUGCGUUUAGUAAAGCGAAAUUCUUUGCACAUUUCAAAUAAUUUUAUGAUAUGACGUCUCUGGUGAUAACUCAUUCAUGAUUCCUGCCAAGCUACUUUAACUUUUACCAGCAAGCUCAAAAUUACUCUUCAGCCAAUAUUUUUGGGCAAUUUGCACAGCAGAGCACUGAGAGUGUGGUCGAAAACACGUUAAAUUUGUUUGAAAACAUGUAUCGUGGUCAUAUGGUGCAAAUAACGCAUGGGAACCUGUGAAAACAUUGGAAACUAUAAAACCCUCCUCUCGCUCGCAAAAAAUUACUGAUCGACAAAUAUUCGAAAGUGAACAUUCGAGUUUCAAAAUGGCAAGACAAGCUUUAUUGAUGUGUUUCUUUCUGCUUGCUGUGGCAACGUUCUGCUCUGCACAGCAAAUGCCAGGAGAAAUCGUGGAAAUGACAAAAGAUGAGAUUGAAAAAGAUGACAUUCUCCACGCAGGAGUGACUUUUGCAGUGACAGAGUACAAUUCCAAAACCAACUCGAGACUUAUUGCUACAGAAAUUUUACAAGCCACAAGACAGGUUGUUGCUGGCAUCAAAUAUGUAGCCCUUGUUGAGUUGCGACCACGGCUUUGCGUGCAUGAUCCCAAACUCAAGAUUGCUCCAUGCCCACCACAGCUAAACUUGCCAACCAGAUGUGUGUUUGACAUCCUUCAUCAAGCUUGGAUGCCUUUGAAAUACACAGUUCUGUCUACAAAGUGCUUUAGAGCGCAGUGAACAUUAAUCUUAAGAAUUUGUCUGUAAGCAAAUUAUAAUUCAUGAAGAAGAAAAGUAA